rnacentral:rRNA from 1 species
GCUUACGGCCAUACCACCCUGAACACGCCUGUUCUCGGAAGCUAAGCAGGGUCAGGCCUGGUUAGUACUUGGAUGGGAGACCGCCUGGGAAUACCAGGUGCUGUAAGCU